rnacentral:rRNA from 1 species
GACGAACGCUGGCGGCGUGCUUAACACAUGCAAGUCGAACGGAAAGGCCCCUUCGGGGGUACUCGAGUGGCGAACGGGUGAGUAACACGUGAGUAACCUGCCCUUGACUUCGGGAUAACUUCAGGAAACUGGGGCUAAUACCGGAUAGGAAUCCUUGCUGCAUGGUGGGGGUUGGAAAGCUUCGGCGGUUUUGGAUGGACUCGCGGCUUAUCAGCUUGUUGGUGGGGUAGUGGCUUACCAAGGCUUUGACGGGUAGCCGGCCUGAGAGGGCGACCGGCCACAUCGGGACUGAGAUACGGCCCAGACUCCUACGGGAGGCAGCAGGGGGGAAUAUUGCACAAGGGGCGGAAGCCUGAUGCAGCAACGCCGCGGGCGGGAUGACGGCCUUCGGGUUGUAAACCGCUUUCAGCAGGGGCGAAGCUUGUGGUGACGGUACCUGCAGAAGAAGCACCGGCUAACUACGUG